UACGAAGGGGGCUAGCGUUGCUCGGAAUCACGUGGGCGUAAAGGGUGCGUAGGCGGGUUCUUAAGUCGAGAGGUGAAAUCCUGGAGCUCAACUCCAGAACUCGCCUUUGAUACUGAGAGUCUUGAGUUCGGGAGAGGUGAGUGGAACUGCGAGUGUAGAGGUGAAAUUCGUAGAUAUUCGGAAGAACACCAGUGGCGAAGGCGACUCACUGGACACAGUAUUGACGCUGAGGUGCGAAAGCGUGGGGAGCAAACAGGG
rnacentral:rRNA from 1 species